rnacentral:lncRNA from 1 species
CCGUUUUUCGGGUAAACAAUAAGUUAUUAAUCUAAUAAGAGAGAUUGGAGUAACGGUCUAUUUUGUAAUUUUGGAUAAUGUAGUAUUGAUCAAUCCAGAGACAAUAAUCUCCUAUGCCCACUGAAAAUUUGAUUAGAAGGAAAUAACAUUAUAAAGAUUGUGUGUUAUUUUCUUACAAUCUCAUGAGAAAUAAUCAUAUAAGAAAAUAAUAUUUUAAUGAACUACAACCACUUCUCCCUCAAUUUCACAUGGCCUAUAGCUUUCACCCCUUUUGCAUUUUUCUUCAACUUGUUCUAUGCUAUGAUCCUUAUAUAUGUCCCAACCAUAAGUUGUAUAGUCUUCCAUGCAUUGCAAAUAGCAAAGGAGCUUCGUUUCUUCAAGAGUUCUACAGUUUACCAAUGUCUCGGAAAAUAAAACUAAGACAAAUAUGCAAAUUUGCAACACCGUUAUAAUUUGGUUACGACACAUUUUUUUCUUGAUAUAUAUUUCCUGCAAGAUAAUACUUUUGUUAAUAUCGACAAAAAUUCUUGGUGACCAUCUUUUUCAAAAUAUAAAUUAAUAAGCAACACAUCCUUUCAAAAAUAAAUCAAUUUUUGGUAAUUAACUUGUGAAUUCAAAAUCCACUUGCCCAAAUUUCCCCAACUCAAACAAUAGGUAAUCGUAAUAAUAAUGUGACGAAAUGUAAGUAUGGCUUCUAAAUUUAAAACCCAGCUUAUUGAGAACAAUAAUUUUCGAUGAUUAACAUUAUUGAUACAUAUUAUACCUCAUACUUAUUUAUACUCAGAAAAUCUAUAAUAGAAUAUUACAGAUGUUUGUAAUUUUCGGGGAUUUAUGUCAUAAAACUGAAUAAAUACAUUUAUGGCCAUAUAGAUGAAAUAAAAAAAGGAACUGAUUAGUAAGAGUUCUUUGCAUUUUGCAUCGAUAAACCCGAGGAAGAAAUUUGUUUCCUUUCCCUUCCAAUUCCUCCUUUUUCCUUUUUUUUUUUUUAAAAUUGAAUUUCAUUUUAUCCCUCAUCAUAUGGAUUAUGUUAAGAUCAUACAAAAAACCUGAAUAGAUUUGAUGUAUGAAAUGCAAGAACUCAAUAAAUAAAUAUAGCAACAACGAACACUUUCAAGAAAUUGAUGGAAUUAAGUUUGCUUACGUAAUUUUGACAGUCUUAAGCUAUGUCUGCCCAACAGUUUUGUUCUGAUUGAUAAAGCUUAAUAAAUUUUAUGUAAGAUAAAAUGGUUAAUAAAAAGAUUUGACUUUGUAACGGAUGAUCUAAAUGCAUUUACUAACUUGGGAGUUUCAAAAAAAUUUGUAUGUGUUCGUUGCAUUCUUGCAAUAAUCAUAGUUCAUUGCAAUUAGGGGUGUACAAAAAAAUCCAUAAAUAUGGGACCCAUUUAAAAUAAAUAAAAGAAAAAGAAAAAAGGAUGGCUGAAACAAGUUGUGCAACGACAAGUCUGAUUUUGCAAAGCCAAAUCUGAUUUCGAAAAAGGCAAAUCUGAUUUUUGUAAAACCAAAUUUGAUUGGUUACAAGGGACGGCAACUUUGGCUAUAAAUAGAAGCCUUCGUUCUUCAUUUCAGGUACAUCAAAGACGAGAGAAACAGAAAGCUACAGAUUGUUGUUUGUGAGAUAAAUAAUGAGUGUUAGUAAUAUCAUAGUGAGCUGUUUAAAAUAAGGAGUAUUAUUUCUUUGGAAGUUGUAGUAGUCUAUUGGCACUACUAAGUUGUAAUAUUAUAGUGGUAAUAUUGCUCCGUUCGGGUAUUGUAUUUUACCCUAUUAAAAGAUUUAGUGUCGUUGUUACUCUCUUGUAUUAUUACUAUUUGCCAUGGAUAUUAUUCCUGGACGGGAAUAUUAUUUUUUUCCCAACAAUGUGAUAUCAGAGCCAUGGCGAAUAAUGGUCCGCUAUCUUUUCUGUACCCCCGUCUCACAAAAGAUAAUUAUGUUAAUGGUGUCUACGUCUGAAAGCCAUUCUUGGCUCUUAGAAUGUAUGGGAAAUCGUAGAUUGAGGGUAUGCAAAACCUGAUAAUGAGAAAACUCUACCUCAAAAUAAAAAAGAUGUCUUGGCAAAGACAAGAAAGAAGGAUCAACAAGCUCUCACGCGCAUCCACCAAUGUCUGGAUGAUGCCAUGUUUGAGAAGGUGGCAGAUGCUACCACCUCAAAGGAAGCUUGGGAGAUUUUACAAAAUUCCCUUCAAGGAGUUGACAUGGUGAGGAAGAUAAAACUUCAAACUCUAAGGGCUGAGAACAUGAUUCUCGAUGAACUAUCGUGGCCUGCAAAGGAAAAAGAACCGAAGUCAGAAAAGAAAAGCAAAUUUAAAGGUAACUCCAUAUGAUUUAAGGCCUACCUGAUUCAAAGCCUGAUGUACUCCGUGAAAAAGAUCUGAUGCGUCACUUGUACCGGCAGUGUCUUCGACGUUGAUGAACAGGUCAUGAAAAUGAUCCUCU